rnacentral:rRNA from 1 species
GUGGGGAAUCUUCCGCAAUGGACGAAAGUCUGACGGAGCAACGCCGCGUGAGUGAUGAAGGUCUUCGGAUUGUAAAGCUCUGUUAAUCGGGACGAAAGAGCCUAGUGUGAAUAAUGCUAGGAAGUGACGGUACCGGAAUAGAAAGCCACGGCUAACUACGUGCCAGCAGCCGCGGUAAUACGUAGGUGGCAAGCGUUGUCCGGAAUUAUUGGGCGUAAAGCGCGCGCAGGCGGAUCUGCCAGUCUGUCUUAAAAGUUCGGGGCUUAACCCCGUGAUGGGAUGGAAACUACAGAUCUAGAGUAUCGGAGAGGAAAGUGGAAUUCCUAGUGUAGCGGUGAAAUGCGUAGAUAUUAGGAAGAACACCAGUGGCGAAGGCGACUUUCUGGACUGUACCUGACGCUGAGGCGCGAAAGCGUGGGUAGCAAACGGGAUUAGAAACCCGGGUAGUCC